UACGAAGGGUGCAAACGUUGCUCGGAAUUAUUGGGCGUAAAGCGCACGUAGGCGGCUUUGCAAGUUCGAUGUGAAAUCCCUCGGCUCAACCAAGGAAGUGCAUCGAAAACUGCAGAGCUUGAGUAGUUAAGAGGAUCGCGGAAUUCCCGGUGUAGAGGUGAAAUUCGUAGAUAUCGGGAGGAACACCAGUGGCGAAGGCGGCGAUCUGGGAACAUACUGACGCUGAGGUGCGAAAGCGUGGGGAGCAAACAGG
rnacentral:rRNA from 1 species